rnacentral:misc_RNA from 1 species
GAUGAAGAACGUAGCGAAAUGCGAUAAGUAGUGUGAAUUGCAGAAUUCAGUGAAUCAUCGAAUCUUUGAACGCACAUUGCGCCCCUUGGUAUCCCGAGGGGCAUGCCUGUUCGAGCGUCAUUUCACCACUCAAGCCUGGCUUGGUGUUGGGCGACGUCCCCUUUGGGGACGCGCCUCGAAACGCUCGGCGGCGUGGCACCGGCUUUAAGCGUAGCAGAAUCUUUCGCUUUGGAAGUCGGGGCCCCGUCUGCCGGAAGACCUACUCGCAAGGUUGACCUCGGAUCAGGCAGGGAUACCCGCUGAACUUAAGCAUAACAAUAAGCGGAGGA